rnacentral:rRNA from 1 species
GGGGAAUUUUGCGCAAUGGGCUAACGCCUGACGCAGCAACGCCGCGUGGAGGAUGAAGGUCUUUGGAUUGUAAACUCCUGUCAGCAGGGAAAAAGCAAUAGGGCCUAAUACGUCCUAGAGUUGAUUGUACCUGCAGAGGAAGCACCGGCUAACUACGUGCCAGCAGCCGCGGUAAUACGUAGGGUGCGAGCGUUAAUCGGAAUUACUGGGCGUAAAGCGCGCGUAGGCGGCUUUUCAAGUCGGAUGUGAAAUCCCCGGGCUUAACCUGGGAACUGCAUUCGAGACUGUCUAGCUAGAGUAUGGGGGAGGGAAGUGGAAUUUCAGGUGUAGCGGUGAAAUGCGUAGAUAUCUGAAGGAACAUCAGUGGCGAAAGCGACUUCCUGGACCAAUACUGACGCUCAUGUGCGAAAGCGUGGGGAGCAAA